UCUUCCUUCAUCUCACCCAGGACUUCAAAAUUUCAGAGAAAUUUAUCUCUUCAAAUUUCCUCUCUCUUCUUGAGUAUCAGGAACUUGGAUAAAAAAAUUUCAGAUUCAUCUUCAGAUGCUGCAGAUGAGGAAUUUUGGAAUCUUGCUAAUUCAUCAUCAGACGAAGAAUUGAUGAAUUUGCAGAUUAUUGCUCUGCAAGAGAAUGGAAGAAGAAGGCGUCGAGGCUCAAUUCCUGGUCGCAUAUAUAAAGAUAGACAACGAUUGCAAGGCCACCAAACACUCUACAACGAUUAUUUUGCUGAAAAUCAUGUUCAUGAAGAAGUUGUAUUUCGGAGGAGGUUUAGGCUUUUGUGUUUUAAAACCCAAAGACGCCAGUUUAGGCUUUGUGUUUUAAGCAUUAUCUAGGUCGCGAGAAAUAGCAGAACAGAGUUCCAGAACCGAUUUCAGCCUUCGCACUUCCAAAACGUAGCAAAUUCGACCCUAACCCAAAAAAAUGAUAAAAAUCUCUUAGAACCCAUUAGUUUUCUCAAGAAUUUGGCUUUAAAGGAGAUUCUUUUCUCACUUGGAAUUCGAGUUGGAGACUUGGAGCAACCGAGCAAGAGAUUUGGAUUAUGGGAGUUCGAUUGGCAGCAAAAGAUUUGAAGAUUGCAGCAAAAGAAAUUGAUUCAGAAGUUCUAUAUCA